UACGUAGGGUGCAAGCGUUAAUCGGAAUUACUGGGCGUAAAGCGUGCGCAGGCGGUUCGCUAAGACAGAUGUGAAAUCCCCGGGCUUAACCUGGGAACUGCAUUUGUGACUGGCGGGCUAGAGUUUGGCAGAGGGGGGUAGAAUUCCACGUGUAGCAGUGAAAUGCGUAGAUAUGUGGAGGAACACCGAUGGCGAAGGCAGCCCCCUGGGUCAAAACUGACGCUCAUGCACGAAAGCGUGGGGAGCAAACAGG
rnacentral:rRNA from 1 species